rnacentral:misc_RNA from 1 species
GAUGAAGAACGUAGCGAAAUGCGAUAAGUAAUGUGAAUUGCAGAAUUCAGUGAAUCAUCGAAUCUUUGAACGCACCUUGCGCUCCUUGGUAUUCCGAGGAGCAUGCCUGUUUGAGUGUCAUUAAAUUCUCAACCUCAUCAGUUUUGUUAUGAAGCUGUGUGAGGCUUGGAUGUGGGGGUUUGUGCAGGCUGCCUCAGUGCGGUCUGCUCCCCUGAAAUGUAUUAGCGAGUUCCAACUGGGCUCCGUCUAUUGGUGUGAUAAUUAUCUACGCCGUGGAUUGGGCUUAGACUUGCUUCUAACCGUCCGCAAGGACAAUCUUUUGACAAUUUGACCUCAAAUCAGGUAGGACUACCCGCUGAACUUAAGCAUAUCAAUAAGCGGAGGA